AAGAAGAAUCUAAAGGGAUGCCAGAGCAUCUGCUCCCGGAGAUUUUUUCAAACAAGCUCCAACAGCUGUUUGUGCUAGAAGCCACCAUAAAAAGCAUUCUUAAAAGCAAGAGGGACAGAACAGCAGUAAUGGAGAGAUCGAUGGUUCAGCUGGGAUCCUGGAGAUUUAUUAAGCAUGCACAGUGUACAAGACAACCAGGGACGCAGAGAUGAGAUAAGACACAAUUCUUAACUUUAAAAGAACUCUCUGCGGCGUAGCAAAAGAAGAGAAAAGCAGGCAGCAGAGUAACCGGUCUGUGCGAAAUAGAGAAAAGCUGGGAGUAAAUCAUGACAUACCAGGAUCCUGCAAUACCACGCGGUUCAUAAGAAUAAGGAGCUCCAGGAAUUAUUCCAAAAUCAACAAAAUCAAGCUGCAACAUAAUACAAACGAUGCGACUUUUAUAUAACAACAAACCGGUCUUCAGCACUUGAAACAUUACCUCAUUCUCAGUAAACCCUUCCUGCAUGAAUGAAUGAAUGUGCCAGUCCUCAUUCCUUGCCUGAUUCUUAUUUUACAGGGAUUUCCUCGCAGGACUUCAGCUAAUUCUCAAGACCCAGUUCCAUUCAAUUUACUUGAAUUUUAUUAGAGGGCCAGUCAGCAGAGUUCUAGAUAAGCUGGCCUGAAGCCACGCAGAGGGCAGGGAGGUCCUGCCUCCAGCUCCUGUCUCGCUCUAUAUCAGUGACUCCCCAAGUGACCUUGGAAAGUCCGAUAGUCUCAGAGAGCAGCUCCUGAAUCUGCAGAGUCCUGGCCCUGUCCAGGCGUGGUGGACACUGGCCACAGCCUCAGCAGGAAGAGUGGACGCAUGCUCUGCCUUUUACUCUCAGAAGUCGCCCUUGCUGUUCAGACCACAAAAGGCAGCAGCAAACGCCCCAGGCAGAGCUGCACCUCACGACCAUCGGCUUUGAGUGACUGACCUCAGCAGCCUAAAAGCCAGACAGAGCGGGGCCAACCCACAGUGGUCAGCGGCACCUUCUGCAUCUCUGCAAUGAUUGCAGAUCCGUGAAGCCAGGAUGGCUCCCUUUGCCUGGAGCGCUCCCUGCGUUCUUCGGGUAAAGCAAGGGCCUAUCAAAAACAGUGACAAUUGACGCCGCGGACUGUUAUUGAACCACACGUUGACUUCAUGAAGGCUGGGUCCCCGCAAUCCUCAUGACAGCAGCGUGCGCUUCCCUCUUCUCCCACAGGGACAGCUUUCGAGGGCAGCUGUCGCCUGAUGGGCUGGUGCUGAAUUUGGAGCUGUCAGCUUCUGAUGAGGAGGGAGAAAGGAAAGACGGGCGGCCGUAUGUUGGAUUCCAAAGACUUAAUGCCACGACCCUGAUGAUUUAACGAAUUCAUUUAUUUGCCCAUUAUCUUUGAGCACCUACUAUGUGCUAUGUGCCAUUCUAGAUGCCGGGAACAGAGUAGGUGUAAGAGGUAGGGUCAGCGUGUUUGGCUUUCAUCUGUUGUCAUCCGACAGAAUGACCAUGAAUUGAGCAGCUUAAGAUGGCACCGUGUGAGCUCGGGGUUUCCGUGGACCUGGACUCUGAGCGGGGGUCAGCAGGGUCCUCUCCAAGGCUGCCGUGGAGGUGUCAGCCGGGGAGGGGUUCUCACUGGAAGGUUUGGGGAAAGCUCUGCUGUCACCCGUCACUUAGGGUCAGGCGUGUGUUCUGAGAAAUCUUGGGUAGGUGAGUCCUCGUCGUGAGAAGAGAAUGGCGUGUACUUAGCCAGCCUCGAUGCUGCGGCCUACCACACGCCUGAGCCCGAGGGCGCACACACAGGGUGCAGCUUAGGGUCGUGUUGAACAAAACAACGUGAGGCUAAAUCAAGCCCCAGUGAAAACGAUGCAGUUGAGAGGCCCGGUGAGCAGGAGGUG